rnacentral:rRNA from 1 species
GAUGAACGCUGGCGGCGUGCCUAACACAUGCCAGUCGAGCGGCAGCGAGGGGUGCUUGCACCCUGUCGGCGAGCGGCGGACGGCUGAGUAACGCGUGGGAACGUGCCCCAAAGUGAGGAAUAACUGCCCGAAAGGGUAGCUAAUACCGCAUAUUAUCUUCGGAUCAAAGGAUUUAUCCGCUUUGGGAGCGGCUCGCGUCGGAUUAGGUAGUUGGUGAGGUAAUGGCUCACCAAGCCGACGAUCCGUAGCUGGUCUGAGAGGAUGACCAGCCAGACUGGAACUGAGACACGGUCCAGACUCCUACGGGAGGCAGCAGUGAGGAAUCUUCCACAAUGGGCGAAAGCCUGAUGGAGCAACGCCGCGUGCAGGACGAAGGCCUUCGGGUUGUAAACUGCUUUUAUAAGUGAGGAAUAUGACGGUAACUUAUGAAUAAGGAUCGGCUAACUACGUG